ACGGGAGGCAGCAGUGAGGAAUAUUGGUCAAUGGUCGGAAGACUGAACCAGCCAAGUCGCGUGCAGGAAGACGGUCCUAUGGAUUGUAAACUGCUUUUGUACGGGAAUAAAGUGCGGGACGUGUCCCGUUUGGAAUGUACCGUAAGAAUAAGGGUCGGCUAACUCCGUGCCAGCAGCCGCGGUAAUACGGAGGACCCGAGCGUUAUCCGGAUUUAUUGGGUUUAAAGGGUGCGCAGGCGGAGGAUUAAGUCAGCGGUGAAAUUUUCAUGCUCAACAUGAAAACUGCCAUUGAUACUGGUCCCCUUGAGAGAUGUCGAGGAUGGCGGAAUGUGAUGUGUAGCGGUGAAAUGCUUAGAUAUGACGAAGAACUCCGAUUGGGAAGCCAGCUUACUGUAGCGCCACUGACGCUGAUGCUCGAAAGCGUGGGUAUCGAACAGGAUUAGAUACCCUGGUA
rnacentral:rRNA from 1 species